GAUGAACGCUGGCGGCGUGCCUAAUACAUGCAAGUCGAGCGAACGGACGAGAAGCUUGCUUUUCUGAUGUUAGCGGCGGACGGGUGAGUAACACGUGGAUAACCUACCUAUAAGACUGGGAUAACUUCGGGAAACCGGAGCUAAUACCGGAUAAUAUUUUGAACCGCAUGGUUCAAAAGUGAAAGACGGUCUUGCUGUCACUUAUAGAUGGAUCCGCGCUGCAUUAGCUAGUUGGUAAGGUAACGGCUUACCAAGGCAACGAUGCAUAGCCGACCUGAGGGGGUGAUCGGCCACACUGGAACUGAGACACGGUCCAGACUCCUACGGGAGGCAUCAGUAGGGAAUCUUCCGCAAUGGGCGAAAGCCUGACGGAGCAACGCCGCGUGAGUGAUGAAGGUCUUCGGAUCGUAAAACUCUGUUAUUAGGGAAGAACAUAUGUGUAAGUAACUGUGCACACCUUGACGGUACCUAAUCAGAAAGCCACGGCUAACUACGUG
rnacentral:rRNA from 1 species